rnacentral:piRNA from 1 species
UCCACCUUUGGGUCGCUUUGCUGUUCGUGA